GCUGCCGCCGCCACCGCCGCCGCCCGGGCAGGAGGAGUUCUCCUUCCUCCCGCUCGUCCACGACAUCAUCAAAUGCAUGGACAAGGACAGCCAGGAUGUUCACCAGGUGCUGAAUGAGCUCAAGAACAAGUUCCAGGAGAUGAGGAAGCUGAUCAGCUCUAUGCCUGGCAUCAGCGUGAGCCCRGAACAGCAGCAGCAGCAGCUGCAGAACCUCCGGGAGCAGGUCCGGACCAAAAAUGAACUGCUGCAGAAGUACAAGAGCCUUUGCAUGUUUGAGAUCCCUAAGGAGUAGGAAGGGAGCAACUCUGCUCUCUGGGUCUGAGAUACUUCCUCGCCUGGCUGAACAGGCGAAAAGAAGGUGGCAGAAGUUUACUUUUCUUUGUUUUAUGCUUUUUUGUCGCAUUGCUUCAAACUUGUGCCUGUGUGGAUCACAGCUACGUGACACUGAACGAGGAGAACACUGUGUAUUUGUAUAUGCAUCUCUAUUCUGUUUUCUCUCAUGUUUUUUUUUUUCCAUUCAAGCAAGCAGGAGGCAUUAUGUUUUCCCCAUGCUAAGAGGCAAAUUACCUGCUGGUUAACUUCAACAGGAAAAAGGGGAUGUUUUCUGCAAUUUUUCUGCAAUUUUUUUUUUUACUUCUGAAAUGAAAACCGUGGCCAAACAUGAAAGGGAGCAAAAGAGGGAAGCAUGAGCUGUUUGGCCCUGCUGCUGGAAUGGGGAGAGCAUUGGGUCUCUGGGGGCACUUUGCAGUCUGUGUGUGUCGAAAGAGGAAUGAUUGCUUUCAGUUACUUUUAUAUUUCUCUCUCUUUCUCUCUCUCUCUCUCUUCUUUUUCUUUUUCUUUUUCUUUUUUUUUUGGAAAUAAGUGAUGGUUGUAUCUAAGAUGAGUCAAGUAAAGAUGUAGAAACUCCAGACUGCCUCUCUUGUGUCUGCACUGAGUGGAUGUGGGCUGAGCAAGAGCAGGCCUUUGGCAGCGCAGAGGAAGUGCGUAGGCCGGGCCCAGSUCCUGUGUCCUAACAUUGCUUUUUGGAAGCAGGGUGACUUAGGAGACCUAGCAGAGACUGCCAGAGGAGUGGAUUUCAACAGGUCCAGCUUGGCUGGCAGUACCACUGGGCACCUUAUUCUUAAAACAGAGGGAGGAAAAUCAGAAUCAAAGUAAAGGCCAUAAAUGGCAAGAGCUGUUAAGAGUUUCCAUAAAUGACCGACGCUCAACAGGGCAGGUCAGUUCCACGUCUCAGCAGCUCCAGGGGCUUUCCACAGAUGAACAUAGAGAGCGUUUGACUGUCAGUGGCUCAUGGAAAACCCUUGAACAGUGUAUCAUGUUCAGAGGGACCCUGGACUCUCUGCCCUCCUCAGCCUUAAGCUGCUGCAGUGUCAGAUGACAACCUGGUAAGUAGCGCUGCUGACUAACAAGACGUAAUGGGGCUCUGAAUCUCUUGUUUUGAACAUGACUCUGCGCUGCAUUGGUUGGAUCUCAAAUGUGCCUGCGAAGUACGCUUCUGUGAAUUACACCGAAAGACUGCGGAGAUGAGUGCAAUGCAAUUUCCCAUUGAUGCAGAAAACCAGGGUCAUGAUUUAGGAUCAUGUUCUAUUUUCAGAUCUCUGACACAUUGUGGAGAGGCACACAUGGCUGUGCGGCAAAUUUAAGCCAGCCAGCRAUAGGCUAGGCUCAGGUGGGUUCGUAGACCUUAGGCUGAAAACCGCUGCAGUAGUGGAAGAAGUGAAAAGCUAGUUAGUGAAAAAGAACAUCCAUGGAAAACUGGCAUCCAAGGACAGGUAAAAUUCGUGCCUUCGAAAGAGGAGGAGCAAAGUCUGUUCAGGUGAACUUUCCUCUUCUAAGCCAAGAGGCAAAUAAUUGUUUUGUGGGGGCUGGGAUCGGUGCAGCUCACCUGUUGCCUAGAGAUAACUCUGCCCCGAUGGAAUAUGCUACGAGCAAUUUCUCUGGGAAGGUGCCAGCGUGUAAACUUCUGCCUAAGCAAAACAGAGCACUAAGAUAUAGAAAACACAAUGUACACUUUUUAUUACUGAAAUUACCUUUCUACCAGCCAUUGCCCGUCCCAGUUCAAUAAAUUCUUCUGUCAAUUGCCUGGAGGGAGGUUU
ensembl:lncRNA